rnacentral:rRNA from 1 species
CGCGGACUAUAAUGCAGUCGAGCGGACAGAAGGGAGCUUGCUCCCGGAUGUUAGCGGCGGACGGGUGAGUAACACGUGGGUAACCUGCCUGUAAGACUGGGAUAACUCCGGGAAACCGGAGCUAAUACCGGAUAGUUCCUUGAACCGCAUGGUUCAAGGAUGAAAGACGGUUUCGGCUGUCACUUACAGAUGGACCCGCGGCGCAUUAGCUAGUUGGUGAGGUAACGGCUCACCAAGGCGACGAUGCGUAGCCGACCUGAGAGGGUGAUCGGCCACACUGGGACUGAGACACGGCCCAGACUCCUACGGGAGGCAGCAGUAGGGAAUCUUCCGCAAUGGACGAAAGUCUGACGGAGCAACGCCGCGUGAGUGAUGAAGGUUUUCGGAUCGUAAAGCUCUGUUGUUAGGGAAGAACAAGUGCAAGAGUAACUGCUUGCACCUUGACGGUACCUAACCAGAAAGCCACGGCUAACUACGUGCCAGCAGCCGCGGUAAUACGUAGGUGGCAAGCGUUGUCCGGAAUUAUUGGGCGUAAAGGGCUCGCAGGCGGUUUCUUAAGUCUGAUGUGAAAGCCCCCGGCUCAACCGGGGAGGGUCAUUGGAAACUGGGAAACUUGAGUGCAGAAGAGGAGAGUGGAAUUCCACGUGUAGCGGUGAAAUGCGUAGAGAUGUGGAGGAACACCAGUGGCGAAGGCGACUCUCUGGUCUGUAACUGACGCUGAGGAGCGAAAGCGUGGGGAGCGAACAGGAUUAGAUACCCUGGUAGUCCACGCCGUAAACGAUGAGUGCUAAGUGUUAGGGGGUUUCCGCCCCUUAGUGCUGCAGCUAACGCAUUAAGCACUCCGCCUGGGGAGUACGGUCGCAAGACUGAAACUCAAAGGAAUUGACGGGGGCCCGCACAAGCGGUGGAGCAUGUGGUUUAAUUCGAAGCAACGCGAAGAACCUUACCAGGUCUUGACAUCCUCUGACAACCCUAGAGAUAGGGCUUUCCCUUCGGGGACAGAGUGACAGUGGUGCAUGGUUGUCGUCAGCUCGUGUCGUGAGAUGUUGGUUAGUCC